rnacentral:rRNA from 1 species
CAAGUCGAGCGAGGCCUGGGGGGCAACUCCCAGAGUCGAGCGGCGGACGGGUGAGUAACACGUGGGUAACCUGCCCGGAAGUGGGGAAUACCUCGGGGAAACUCGAGCUAAUACCGCAUGACAUCUUCGGGACGAAAGUCCUGACGAUCAAAGCGGGGUCGCAAGAUCUCGCGCUACCGGAUGGGCCCGCGCCCGAUUAGCUAGUUGGCGAGGUAACGGCUCACCAAGGCUUCGAUCGGUAACCGGCCUGAGAGGGCGAUCGGUCACACCGGAACUGAGACACGGCCCGGACUCCUACGGGAGGCAGCAGUGGGGAAUCUUGCGCAAUGGGCGAAAGCCUGACGCAGCAACGCCGCGUGGAGGAUGAAGGCCCUUGGGUUGUAAACUCCUGUCGGCUGGGAAGAAAUCAUACGGUGCUAAUACCACCGUGCGUUGACUGUACCAGCAAAGGAAGCCCCGGCUAACUCUGUGCCAGCAGCCGCGGUAAUACAGAGGGGGCUAGCGUUAUUCGGAAUUAUUGGGCGUAAAGGGCGCGUAGGCGGCUUUGCGUGUCUUCCGUGAAAUCCCUCGGCUCAACUGAGGACGUGCGGAAGAAACUGCAGGGCUCGAGUCCGGGAGAGGGGGGUGGAAUUCCCAGUGUAGCGGUGAAAUGCGUAGAUAUUGGGAGGAACACCGGUGGCGAAGGCGGCCCCCUGGACCGGUACUGACGCUGAGGCGCGAAAGCGUGGGGAGCAAACGGGAUUAGAUACCCCGGUAGUCCACGCCGUAAACGAUGGCACUUGGUGUCGCGGGUAUCGACCCCUGCGGUGCCGAAGCUAACGCAUUAAGUGCCCCG